UCUUUCAGAAUAUUUUAUAAAUCUAAAUUAAGGAUACUAUUUAUUUUACCUAGGUUAUAGUUCUAUUUAAGUUCUAGUUGAUACUAUUUAUCUGUUUUAAUUUACAGUUUGUUCUAAUCUGUUUAAUCUAUUUUAGUUCUUUGGUGUUCCCUUAAGGAGUUAAAAAAAAACAAUAACAGCAAAACAACAACACAGCAGAACAAUUCAGCAAGGACAGGUCAAACUGUGCUUCAGAUUGAUGUCUUGUUUCCUCCGAUGAUCCAACAGUUAAUUCUGUUUCAGUGACCCACUGCUAAUGCGCACAACAACAUAGGCAGGUCAUACCAAGUUGCGGGGUUGGCAAUGUCCAGCAGAAGGUGUAGCUCCUACUAGAUGGUCAUUAAGCUCCCGGGUUGGCUCGCCAUCUCGUUCUCCUUAGGAAGAUCCAAUUCAGUGAUGAUCCGAGACUCCUUAGUCCAAAUCCCAGCCGAACGAAAAAAACCAAAACAACAACAACAACAAAAAAAGCCUGUUGCCAACAAAGAGCGACAGUUAGCAACAGUUCGCUCCUCUGCUGAUAAGCCGUUAAAUUUCUGUUAGCUUCAGUGGAUCAGCUGUUACUCCUGCUGACUUUCAGUUGGCUUGCUGUUAGCACCAAGAGCAACAGCCAACGCCUCCGCUGAUCAGCCUCCGCUUCAGCUUUCCAUUUAAAUUAAAUAAAUGUUUACAUUAUCUAAAAAAACAAAAGAACAAAAUACACUUCCAACUCACCAAGUCCAGUUUCACAACACACAAAAGAUGAUCCCGAACACAGUCAGGGUGAGGAAAAAAAAUAAUGCGAAAAGCUCCUUCUCAAGAAAUAAGACAAAACAAAACAAAAACUCGUCUUAGACAGCAAGUCAGCUACGAGUGGUCAAUUUCCAGUGUUGGUGCUGGAAGGCUGCCAUUUUUGAUGCGCUGCUUGAGCUGAAAUGGAACCGUCCGCUCGCUUGCUGUUCCUCCAGGAGGCUCCACCAGCACAGGAUGGAACAUCAGAGUGGCAUUGCGGCUGGCAAAUAUGAUAGAGACAAGGAGCCGUAGCGAGAAACGGCGAUAUAGGGCGCAAAGCAAUAAAAAUAUCAUUACA